UCAAGUGGUCGGGAUAAUUAUUGGGCUUAAAGUGUCCGUAGCCGGUUUAGUAAGUUCCUGGUAAAAUCGGGUAGCUUAACUAUCUAUAUGCUAGGAAUACUACUAUACUAGAGGGCGGGAGAGGUCUGAGGUACUACAGGGGUAGGGGUGAAAUCUUAUAAUCCUUGUUAGACCACACAGUGGCGAAGGCGUCAGACUGGAACGCGCCUGACGGUGAGGGACGAAAGCCAGGGGAGCGAACCGGAUUAGAUACCCGGGUAGUCCUGGCCGUAAACGAUGCAUACUAGGUGAUGGCACGGCCAUGAGCCGUGUCAGUGCCGUAGGGAAACCGUUAAGUGUGCCGCCUGGAA
rnacentral:rRNA from 1 species